rnacentral:rRNA from 1 species
CCUACGGGUGGCAGCAGUGAGGAAUAUUGGGCAAUGGCCGGAAGGCUGAACCAGCCAAGCCGCGUGAAGGACGAAGGUGCCAAGCAUUUUAAACUUCUUUUGUCAAGGAACAAAAUCAGGCUCGAGAGCCUGACCGAGGGUACUUUAAGAAAAAGCAUCGGCUAACUCCGUGCCAGCAGCCGCGGUAAUACGGAGGAUGCGAGCGUUAUCGGGAUUUAUUGGGUUUAAAGGGUGCGUAGUGGGGCUGUUACGUCAGCGGUAAAAGCCCGGGGCUAAACCCCGGCGAGCCGUUGAAACUGGCUGUCUUGAGAGGUCGAGAGGUAUGCGGAAUG